AAGAAGAUCUUGGAGUCCGUUGGUGCUGAGAUCGAUGAAUCGAGGAUAGAUCUGUUGUUUUCUCUUGUUAAAGAUCAUGAUGUGACUGAGCUUAUCGCUGCUGGGAGGGAAAAGAUGGCUGCUUUGUCUUCUGGUGGUCCAGCUGUUGCUAUGGUUGGUGGAGGAGGUGGUGGUGGCGGCGGUGGUGCUGCGGCUGAGCCGGUUGCUGAGUCUAAGAAGAAGGUUGAAGAGGAGAAAGAGGAGUCUUCUGAUGGUGAAGGCAUGAUGAGUCUCUUUGAUUGAUUUGGUUUAAGUUAGGCUGUGAUAUCUGUUGCUUAUGAG
rnacentral:lncRNA from 1 species